UUGCUUUGGCAGCACAUAUACUAAAAUUGGAAUAAUACAGAGAUAUUUAGCAAGGCCCCUGCCCAAGGAUGAUAUGCAAAUUUCUGAAGCGUUCCUUAUUUUA